rnacentral:rRNA from 1 species
UACGGGGGGGGCAAGCGUUGUUCGGAUUUACUGGGCGUAAAGGGCGCGUAGGCGGCCUCUGCAAGUCGACUGUGAAAUCUCCGGGCUUAACCCGGAAAGGUCAGCCGAUACUGCAGGGCUAGAGUGCAGAAGGGGCAACUGGAAUUCUCGGUGUAGCGGUGAAAUGCGUAGAUAUCGAGAGGAACACCUGCGGCGAAGGCGGGUUGCUGGGCUGACACUGACGCUGAAGUGCGAAAGCUAGGGGAGCGAACGGG